UACAGAGGGUGCAAGCGUUAAUCGGAAUUACUGGGCGUAAAGCGUGCACAGACGGUUGCGUAAGUCAGAUGUGAAAGCCCCGGGCUCAACCUGGGAAUUGCAUUUGAGACUGCGUAGCUAGGGUGCGGAAGAGGGAAGCGGAAUUUCCGGUGUAGCGGUGAAAUGCGCAGAUAUCAGGAGGAACACCGGUGGCGAAGGCGGGUCUCUGGGCCGUAACUGACGCUGAGGAGCGAAAGCAUGGGGAGCGAACAGG
rnacentral:rRNA from 1 species